GACGAACGCUGGCGGCGUGCCUAAUACAUGCAAGUUGAGCGAUGAAGAUUGGUGCUUGCACCAAUUUGAAGAGCAGCGAACGGGUGAGUAACGCGUGGGGAAUCUGCCUUUGAGCGGGGGACAACAUUUGGAAACGAAUGCUAAUACCGCAUAACAACUUUAAACAUAAGUUUUAAGUUUGAAAGAUGCAAUUGCAUCACUCAAAGAUGAUCCCGCGUUGUAUUAGCUAGUUGGUGAGGUAAAGGCUCAACAAGGCGAUGAUACAUAGCCGACCUGGGAGGGGGAUCUGCCACAUUGGGACUGAGAACCGGCCCAAACUCCUACGGGAGGCAGCAGUAGGGAAUCUUCGGCAAUGGACGAAAGGCUGACCGAGCAACGCCGCGGGAGUGAAGAAGGGUUUCGGAUCGUAAAACUCUGUUGGUAGAGAAGAACGUUGGUGAGAGUGGAAAGCUCAUCAAGUGACGGUAACUACCCAGAAAGGGACGGCUAACUACGUG
rnacentral:rRNA from 1 species